ensembl:lncRNA
CGGGGGCCCCGCGGCUCCGUGCUGAGGGUCGGCGCCCGUGCAGCGCGAGCAGCGCGGCCGGGGCCUGCAGAAAGUUUCCGCGGCGGCAGGUGGACGGCAGGCUGGGACCUGUUGCAAUUCCUGAUCGUUCUGGCCGCGUUUCAUCAAGCAGUUGUGACUUGAGAACUGUCCCGGCCCUCGCGCCCCAUAACCACGCGGUUUCCUUGGCCUCCUUGGCGCUUACGUCCCUUCUUGUCCCCCAGCAAGCUUCCUGCACGGCGUAACCGAGCCGCGUUUUGCGCCCCGUCGGGCGGCGGAAGGGUUAAGUCCCGCUGCGCUGAGCGUUUCGGCGCUCGUUGGCUGCCGGCCCAGCGCUCUCGGUGCCGUAUUGCAUCAGAGCGGGCAGGAGCACCUCGCUGCGCUCCCCCUCCGCGCGCUGUACUUGGAGCGCUUCGCCGUUUCCCACGGCAUGUUAAUUUUUUCCCUCCGUGGUCUCCAGGAUUCCUUCUCACGGGUUUCUUGGAGGAUGUUCUGCCCCGCUCCUCCCACCCAGGUUGAGGGCAGGGCGCCGCUCCGCUCUGCCCUACGCCGGGCGCCUGGAGCCCAUCUUUGCACCUCCGGCACACGGCGAGCCCUCGGUGCCGAGACGCUCCCCGCUCGGUGUCGAAACGUCGCCGCAGAGCAGUCCCGUGCGUUGCCCAGCGAGGUUCCCAUCUCUUAACAACUGAGGAGAAGAGACAUUGAAAUGCUGAGCCAACCCAUGGGACGGGUUUUAAAGACACUCCUAGGCACCUAAAACGUGGGUUCCUAAACACCUUUACAAAUGUGGAUUCAUGGGACUGACGCAGAGCUGCCUCAUAAACUUUUGAUGCCCUGGAGCUUCUAGCCAAGACUUGCAGCCUUUGUCCCAGAUGACUGCAGAGGUCUGGCCAGGAUGUGUGCUGUCUUCCUGUGGUGUUGCAUAGCGCUCAGCGCAGCGAAGCUUCCCUCUUGAUGGAUGCCUUAGAGAUCCCACGAGCUGGGCUCCAUGAUCCUUAUGGAUCCCUCCAGCCCAGGAUGAUUCCAUGACCACCACACUGCACCGAGGCUGCUCAUGGUCCCCGGCCCCUCUCCACGCAGCAGGCUGCUGCCCCACAUGGUGCGGCUGUCUGCACUCCCCAAGCUGAAAUACCUCUCCUCACAGGAUCGCCGUGAGGUAGGAAAUUACCACUCUCCUCCUCUUAGAGAUGAGAAGCAGAUGCGGGCAGAAGCUAAUUGACUUAGCUAAUGUCACGCCGGAGUCUGUGGCAGAGCAGAGCACUGAGAUCAGC